UACGAAGGGUGCAAGCGUUACUCGGAAUUACUGGGCGUAAAGCGUGCGUAGGUGGUUUGUUAAGUCUGAUGUGAAAGCCCUGGGCUCAACCUGGGAAUUGCAUUGGAUACUGGCAGGCUAGAGUGCGGUAGAGGGUAGUGGAAUUCCGGGUGUAGUGGUGAAAUGCGUAGAGAUCCGGAGGAACACCAGUGGCGAAGGCGGCUCACUGGUCCGGUACUGACGCUGAGACACGAAAGCGUGGGUAGCAAACAGGA
rnacentral:rRNA from 1 species